rnacentral:tRNA from 1 species
AUUUAUAUAGUUUAAUAAAAACCUUACAUUUUCACUGUAAAAUUGAAUAUCUUUCUAUAAAUU